AUUUUGGCGGCCGUUGAGGUGGAAGAUUGUAAAUCUUUUUAUGAUUAUUUUUAAUCCCUUUCUUAGAACU
rnacentral:tRNA from 1 species